AACGAACGCUGGCGCCAUGCCUAACACAUGCAAGUCGAACGGGAUCCUAGCUUGCUAGGUGAGAGUGGCGGACGGGUGAGUAACACGUGGGAAUCUGCCUUUUGGUUCGGGAUAACCGCGGGAAACUGCGGCUAAUACCGAAUGCCCUCGUGAGAGGAAAAGAUUUAUCGCCAGAAGAGGAGCCCGCGUCCGAUUAAGUAGUUGGUGGGGUAAAGGCCUACCAAGCCGACGAUCGGUAGCUGGUCUGAGAGGAUGAUCAGCCACACUGGGACUGAGAUACGGCCCAGACUCCUACGGGAGGCAGCAGUGGGGAAUAUUGGACAAUGGGGCAACCCUGAUCCAGCAAUGCCGCGUGAGUGAUGAAGGCCUUGGGGUUGUAAAGCUCUUUUGCCAGGGAAGAUGAUGACUGUACCUGGAGAAUAAGCCCCGGCUAACUUCGUGCCAGCAGCCGCGGUAAU
rnacentral:rRNA from 1 species